UAGGGAAUAUUGGGCAAUGGAGGGAACUCUGACCCAGCCAUGCCGCGUGCAGGAUGAAGGCGUUAUGCGUUGUAAACUGCUUUUAUAUAGGAAGAAAUAGUCCUUGCGAGGAAAGUUGACGGUACUAUAUGAAUAAGCACCGGCUAACUCCGUGCCAGCAGUCGCGGUAAUACGGAGGGUGCAAGCGUUGUCCGGAUUUAUUGGGUUUAAAGGGUGCGUAGGCGGUUUAUUAAGUCAGUGGUGAAAGACGGUCGCUCAACGAUUGCAGUGCCAUUGAUACUGGUAGACUUGAGUAUGAUUGAGGUAGCUGGAAUGGAUAGUGUAGCGGUGAAAUGCAUAGAUAUUAUCCAGAACACCAAUUGCGUAGGCAAGUUACUAAGUCAUAACUGACGCUGAGGCACGAAAGUGUGGGUAUCAAACAGGAUUAGAUACCCCUGUAGUCCCUGAGCGGGCUGGCAAGGCGCAU
rnacentral:rRNA from 1 species